AACAGCCAACUUUCCUUUCCCUUCUCCUCCUCCACUCAUCCCAAAGGCAUCACAGCCCCAACUCAGUGGGAUCAAUCCUUUUUCUAGGAGCGCUGGACAAAAAUUGUCUGGGACAAUGAGUCCGAAUCAAGGGUCCAUUUCACAGGGUCCCUAAUGAAGGUUCGUAAUUGAGGAAUAAUCAUCAAAUGAGGAACUCUGGGAUGGACUUUCAGCCUCGUGACUAGUGUUCACAUGACCAAGGGAUUCCAUAGGCACACCCCUUCAGUUCCACUAGAGGAGGUCAGAGGGGCCUAUGCAUCUUUAUAUACAGUAACACCUGUGGUUACAGAAAUACACUGAGGACAUAGAGUUCUUGAUAUAAUCUGUUAAGGGUUUGGUGCCCAGUCUUCUUUGAAUGAAGACACUGAACAGCUGAGGCACAGCUCCCCGUGCUGACUCUAGGGAUUUGUGUCAUUCCCUUUGGGAACGGGGACCAGAUGGAAAUGGGUGCUGAGCAAAGGUGCUGUGACCUAUGGAAACAUUAAUUUAAGACGUCUCCUCAGCUGGCAAUGUCAGUAAAUUGUAUAACAUGUAACACUUCCAUCCCUCAUCCCACCCCCCCACAUGCAAAAUUAUUGUAAUAAUUUAAGUGGCUUUCACAAUUCAAAUGUUUAAGAUAUGGCGCCGGAGAGUAGUGAAAAUGUGGGAAAUGUUGUAAUUGUACAGGUGGUCCCUUUGGGUCACAGCCUUGAUUUAUUCCAGAGGAAGAGA